rnacentral:rRNA from 1 species
UACGGGGGGCGCAAGCGUUGUUCGGAUUUACUGGGCGUAAAGGGCGCGUAGGCGGCCACCGCAGGUCGACUGUGAAAUCUCCGGGCUUAACCCGGAAAGGUCAGCCGAUACUGCGGGGCUAGAGUGCAGAAGGGGCAACUGGAAUUCUCGGUGUAGCGGUGAAAUGCGUAGAUAUCGAGAGGAACACCUGCGGCGAAGGCGGGUUGCUGGGCUGACACUGACGCUGAGGCGCGAAAGCUAGGGGAGCGAACGGG